GCGAGAAGAUUUCAUGCUGUGACUCUCUGGAGGGAAGCGCUUUCUGUUGUCUGAAAGAAAACAAAGCGCUUCUCUUUAGAGAGUUACGGUUUGAGAAAAGC
rnacentral:pre_miRNA from 3 species